rnacentral:lncRNA from 1 species
CCUCCCUCGCCUGGCCCCCACGCGAUAGGACGGGGACUGCUGCGAGCAUCGUAUUCCGCCAUUAAUAAUUCCGGGGCGGGGGUCUUCCGGCGGCGACGGUAUUUUCUCCUCAUGCCUCGCCGUGAUUGGGGGCCAGCGAGGAGCGGGCGCGUGUCCGGCCCUCGGCGGGCCGCGUUCGGACGGGGGUUUAUCCUGAUCGAUGACCGGUGGACGGCGGCGUGGGCGGGCGGGCN